rnacentral:tRNA from 1 species
GGGGAUGUGGCGAAAAGUGGUAAACGCGCACGAUUAAGACUCGUGUAUCAUCAUUAGAUGGCAUCCAGCUUCAAGACCUGGCAUCCCCA